CCUCGUGCGUGAACCCACCAAAGUAAAAAACACCAAGCUUUUCCGUAGUCAUCUUUUCCCCAAAUUUUCCCCACGCCGACGGUCGGAACCAAGGAGAGGCUCGCCGGCCUCCCCCGCCAGCGCCAUUAAGGCUCGGAAGCAAUCGCCCCCUCAGCCGAUUUACUGGUCCAGGUCACCUCCGCCGCUGUCACGGCUGGCAGGGCUCCCGGCCAGUCUCCGUCAUGACCACCGCCACCUCCGACGCUCCCCGGCCACAGAUUGCAGGUUGGGUCGAAAGGUGCGCGAUGAUUCGCUUCAUAGGACUACUGCUGCUUGGAUUGAUUUCGUUGUUACACAGGAAAACUUAUGCAUGUGGAUAUCUUCAUUCUACCAUAUCUUGGGUUGACAGGAAACAAGCUGUCACCCAUGAUUUUUAGCUUUGAUGUGCCCUGACGUUCUAUUUUUACCAUUGCAUGCUGGUUGGUAAAAAAAAUUUGCUCAAGCAAUUUCGAAGUGAUGUGUUACUUGGUGCAGUCUAAUCUGAACAUUAUUCUUAUUUUCCUUUGUUACUGAAGGUUAUUCCGUACACAGACACACACACACACGCAACUGUGAAGGUAUAUGUGUUUUUUGUUUUUGGACAAGUCAUAUACAUGUUUGACUGAUAAUCAUGAUGCCUUGCUUCCUUUCUUUGCUGAAAUUUUACAACAAUGCCUCUACUAACCUCAUUUCAAUUGAUGAGUACCAUCUGUUUGUUUUUGUGUGUGUUAAAUGGCAUAGGAAUUUCUCCCCUGGAGCUUUCCAGUUUAGAGAACUGAAUUUGACACUCCAAAUCAUAAGACAACAUUCAACAUUACUAAGCAAGGGAACUUCAGAAAAUAUUUUCCUGUCCCUAGUAGAAACAGAACUGAAGAUUACACCCUUCAGGUUAGAUAUGGACACUCCAAAUCAGUAGACACCUUUUUUUCUUUUUGGUAUUGCUUCCAAAAUCAUGAUUACAUUCAUAUCACAAAACAGUCAAAAUGCUAAGCUAAAUUGUACUACAACAACAACCUAUCUACAACUAUAGCCAGCAGCUACAACAGCUGAGCGCACAUCACAUGGACCUAGCCAAGUACGCUUACAGUGCAAGACAGUCUCGACGACAUUGACAGAGCAAAAAAUUGUUGUAUUUUUCCCAUCAAUUGUUUUGUUCUAUGGUUGUUCUGAUGCUGAACAUAAAAUAAAUGUAUGCUUGCUGCUCAUUAUCAGGCUAUGAGGCAGACAAAGCAACUACAAAAGAAUGUAUCCUAGCUACCUUCACCAAUAUGUGAAUGCUUGCUGUUAAUUUCAUUGGAAUGCAGGAAUGGCUGACCGAGAGCAGUGUGCACAUCUCUGAGGCCAAACGAGGCGUUGGAGUCGAGGAUUUGACACAAUUUGGAUCGAAUUACUGUUAUCUAUCCAACCGAUCUUUCUCUCCUCGGGUCUUGGUAGUUUGUCCCUGAGAUUGGUGUUCUAUGCCUAAGAAAGUGGAAUGGAGGGAGUAAUGCCUUGAGGUCUUAUUUAUUAUAAUUAUAGUCAAUGUAGUUCCAUUUUCAUAUUGUAGAGAUGAUAUUCGUUGUGUUACCUUUGGCCUGUAGGGUAUGUCAACCGGCUUUACCUAUGGAACACUUAGUUUAUUCCCAGUACUUUAUCAGCAAUCA